UUUCUUAAACCCGGCCCCGGAGAUACCGUGAUCACGAAGGCGGGUUUUUCCCCCGACGGGGGUCACCAUUCACUCCGGGGUCGCGACCCUUGCAUUAAAAACCCCCAAAGUGUUUGGGGCCCAAUUUUUUUAAGCGGGGGAAAUCCGUUCGCGCUAUCCCCCU